GACGAACGCUGGCGGCGUGCCUAAUACAUGCAAGUUGAGCGAUGAAGAUUGGUGCUUGCACCAAUUUGAAGAGCAGCGAACGGGUGAGUAACGCGUGGGGAAUCUGCCUUUGAGCGGGGGACAACAUUUGGAAACGAAUGCUAAUACCGCAUAACAACUUUAAACAUAAGUUUUAAGUUUGAAAGAUGCAAUUGCAUCACUCAAAGAUGAUCCCGCGUUGUAUUAGCUAGUUGGUGAGGUAAAGGCUCACCAAGGCGAUGAUACAUAGCCGACCUGAGAGGGUGAUCGGCAACAGUGGGACGGAGACACGGCCCAAACUCCUACGGGAGGCAGCAGUAGGGAAUCUUCGGGAAUGGACGAAAGUCUGACCGAGCAACGCCGCGUGAGUGAAGAAGGUUUUCGGAUCGUGAAACUCUGUUGGUAGAGAAGAACGUUGGUGAGAGUGGAAAGCGCAUCAAGUGACGGUAACUACCCAGAAAGGGACGGCUAACUACGCG
rnacentral:rRNA from 1 species